rnacentral:lncRNA from 1 species
GACUUUUGCGUCAAAAGAAUAAAAACACUUGCUAGAAGAAUAUGAGAAUAGGAGAUGUCAGGAAAGAAACAGUUAGGCUGACCCACAAGCCAGGUAUAUAUUUCACGAUGCGAUGCUCGCCUGAAAUAUGAUGAUGCUUGUGAAAGGGACGUGGCGGUGGUUUGACAUGCCUAGUCCGCUUGCCGCCUUCGCAAGUAUGUCUUCCUUUCCAUCCACCCAUUUGAGUGUGCAUUUCAACCCCCUACUAUUCACCUCCGUGUUGAACCUUGAAUGCGGUACACGUCUAGUUUGCUCGCACAUGUGCUCACUGCAAGGACUCUGUCCGUCACGGUGCUCCCCGCUCAGGUGCAUCGAUGGAUACUGUACUACAGUAACCGACAAGUAUAAGUGUCUACACACAAAAAAAAUGCAUCCUUUGUUACACACAAGUUGAUUGUGUAAGUGUCGACAUUUGAAAUGUUUAAUUUUUAUUCUAAAUAAUUCAUCAAUUCCCCUCAGUCACCAGUGCGGUCAUCUUCCUCGCACAGUCUCACUCCGUCCCUCCAUUUUCCUCUCCCACUCUCUAUCUCCUUCAAAGAACGUUAGGAAUAAAUCUGAACACAGGCGCGUGGCGUGUCCGUGCUCGAGUUGGAGUCGCAGUGCGAUGUGUGCGUCGUGCGCGGAUCCGUGGCUAGCUAAACCUGAGAAUGGUUUCAUACUUGAACCAUACCCAUUCAUUUAUCUUUCAAAACCAUACUUGAACCAUACCCAUUUAAUGUCAUUUUUAGCCCAAUCAAAACCAUACCCAUUAUUUUUUUCACCCAAACCAAUUUAAACCCAAAACAUAACCAUGGGUUUAAACCCAGUACACAACCAUAGGUUUGCUUUAAUGUACAUAUAGUUACACAAAUUGACAUGUUAAGAAACAAAAAAGAUAGAAAAUGCAUAAGUGCAUCUACAACAGUUUAGAAAUAAAGUAAUCCUUGAGAUACAGUCAACACAGUAAGAGGCAAAAAAAAAAUGCUCAUGACUGAUAAGCUCACUAACAAGUGUAUUAAAACCAAAUUGCUUAGCGAAAGCACAAGAAAACACUUCUGAUUUUCAUCUUCUGUUUCUCCAUAAUACAUAAUUACAUAAUGCAUUACAGUAUGCACACGGAUCAAAGAUACUCGUUCUCGAUCGUAGUUGAUUAUUCCAUAUAACCAAUGCCUAAAAACCGGUUUGGACCCAUAGUUUAUAACCGUUAAUAACCAAACUGUUUAAACCCAUAACCAACUAUACCCAAACUGGUUUCUCCACAUACUCAAACCAAAACCAAACUAAAAAAAUUUCAGCCCAAUAAAACCUGGACCAAUCAAACCCAAAGUAAGAACCGAACCGUUACACCCGGUUUUUUAAUAACCAUUCUCACGUUUAUGGCUAGCUUGCUAGUUAGUUGGAGGCUGUUAGCUACAUGCAAGUGGUUAGCUAGUUUCAGGGAGUGGAUGAAUGCGCGCAGUUAGUUGCCGGUGUGGCUGCCCGUUGAGUGUGUGCGUGCGUUUGUGUACGUGUGGCUGCAUGCUCCGGGUCCAGUUUAGAAGGCCAUGUACAGUGGUUGAUAAUACAAUCUUAUCUUAAGGUUUACAUGUAUUUUGGAGAUAAUGUCUACAAAUGAUUAUCUUUUAGCAUUAUUACAUACCUCUCCUAUGUAUUAGUUAUGUGCGACGGUGUAUUUGUCGAGCCACAGAUUAUGCUAAAGAAAAACAACACCGUUCAUGUGCGCGAGGCGUUUUUCAUCACAAAAACCUUGUGUCCAGUAUGCUCCUUCCUUCACCUCCAUCUGAGCGAACAAGAGACAUAGCUAUCCCGGUAUGUCCCAACAGAACUCAAUACAAAAUACUGUGACAUAUAUAAACAUGUAUGUAUUAAAAAAUACAAAUACUAUGAAAAAAUAACUAUUUUUUGUUGAUAAAGUACAUAAUUAGUUUGAUCCUAAGUAAGAACCGUGUACACAUUCUUUCUCUCUCUGUUCGUUCAAUCGAACUAGAUAGCAUUAAUUAUUGGUAUGUAAUACUCCUUCCGUCAUAGUUUAGAGUCAUGCACAUGUAUCUAUAUCGUCAAUUUGAUUUAUAUAAAAUAUAUUGUUUAACAUAAAAAUUAUAUCAUUAGAAAAUAUAACAUCUAAAGUUUCUAAUGAUAUAUAUUUUGUUAUAUAUGCCUCUUAUUAAGUUGGGCAAAUUGAUGACCUAGGUAUAUGUGCCGGACUUGUAAAGUCUGUAGUGUGAAAUAUCUUGUGACUGGUAUAUGAUAUGAAUGUUCACAUCAACUGCCCCUCCAGGACAAUCAGUUUAUAUAUCGCCGCCAACUGGGUUCAUUCUAAUCAUUCUUCAUGCAUCAUUAAGCACCUUUUGUCUCCCACAUGAAUCCUUAGCACAAACAACGUGAUAACAUAAGUUUACUGCCAAUUGAGUGUGUUCUGUUCAUGUUUCAGAGCCAGCGAGGUUUACCAUCGUUCUCUUAUAUACAUGUGGCUGAGAAAACAAACACGUAUAAAUAAAAAGGACUAUGCUAGCUUGAGAAUUGGAAACAUCAGGAAGAGAACCCUCCGUAAUAUCCGAAGAACAUGUAGUACUGGGAACGGCAUGCCUCCAGGCCCGAGCUUUGCUACAUCUACGUAAAACUCUUACGAAACCUUACGUAACUGCUCACGUGGUCUAAUUUGGUUGGAAGGAAGUAAGGCUCAGGCCCAUCCCGACAGAAUAGGGGGGUGAUUAGGUUAGGGAAGGAAAGAAACGUAACAUUACGUAGUCUAUUUACGUAGGUAGGUGUAGCAUUUUUUUCUCCAGGCCCAUACCGGUAUCCACACCGUGCCCCCAAAUCGCACAAGUGUGUACAGUCUUAAGGACGACCCUUUAUUGCUGAGGACUUUAGUUGGAGAGAAAAGUCAGGUCUGAUGCCUCGUUCCUAAGGCUGUUCGUAAUGAGAGUAUCAUAUGUAGUAUCAUGCAUGUCAACUAAGCAAUUUUGAUGAGGUGACAUAGAAUUAAAUGAAGAAAGAGAGAGUUGAGUAUCAUAUUUGAUACCGUAUCAUAUUAAAUGAUGUGAUACUAUGUGUCUUGCAUGACAAUAAAUGAACUACCCUAUGGUAUUAACAUAUGAUACUAUGCAUUACGGAUGUGGUAUCAUACAUUAGUAUCAUAUGCAUGAUACUAGUAUAUGAUACUACCCAUUACAACCAGCCUAAGCACGAACCUGUUCAUGUCCCGAUCUAUGAGUCGCCUCCUCCCGGGAUUCGCCUCUAUGUGCCAGUGCGCCGCCUGAUCUGUGCCCUUGUUCACAUGUUCAUCUGUGUGCGUGUGCGUGACAUGCUCGGUAUUUCCCCUGAGGCUGCUCGUAAUGAGAGUAU